CUAAUCCCACUAGCUUAUAACAUUAUCAACUGAGAAUCUCUGCAUAUAUAAAACUUAUCCAUCUUUGCUGUAUAUCUCUAAUUUGAAGUCACAGAGAGAGCUAAGUUAUAGAGCAUUCAGGAAGAACUUAAAGAAAGGAAUUCUCAAAUUUGUUCAUCAUUAUGGCUCUCUUAUUAGGUGGCUUCAUGCCUAAGACCAUGCUCCAACCUCCAACUUUUAAGCCAUACCAGCACUCAAAAAAUGGGAUCAUAAAAUGUUCUCAACCAUCUAAACCACGACCGAAGCCAGGGAAACCUCCGCAGACGAAUGGUGAAGAGAAGAUGACUUCUCCCAGCAGCUCAAAGAAAGAUUCAAAACAGCUUGAUCAGAAAAGCAACAAAGCCAAAAGUCAGGGCUCUGCAAACAAAUCUAAUUAGGCUUCAUAUUAAGUUGUAUUACUACAUAUUAAACUCCUAGUUAGAAAUCUCAAAGGGUUUGGGGUUUAAUUAUUGUUUGGUGAUCGUGCAUGCUGCAUCUUGGUGUUUGUUUAAUUACAGCAUAGUUUGCAAUGAGUUUGGUGUUGUAGUUGGUGUGUUUAAUUUGUUAAGAAGAAUAAAUGUAAACAUAUUGCAAGAAAAUAACAAAAUUUGUAUGUGUGAGGUUGCCUCUUUC